GACGAACGCUGGCGGCGUGCUUAACACACGCAAGUCGAACGAAGUGGCGAACGGGUGAGUAAUACGUGGGUAACCUGCCCUCCUUCUUGGGAUAAGCCUUGGAAACGGGGUCUAAUACCGAAUAGAGGGGGAUGGGCUCGCGGCCUAUCAGCUUGUUGGAGUGGUGAUGGCCUACCAAGGCGGUGACGGGUAGCCGGCCUAAGAGGGAAUCCGGCCAAAGUGUGGCUGGGGUACGGCCCAGGCUCCUACGGGAGGCAACAAAAGGGAGUAUCGCCCAUUGGGGGCAGCCCUGACGCGGCGACGCCGCGUGGAGGAUGAUACUUUUGUGAGCGAAACCUCCUUUUGUCGGUACCUGACAAAGCUGCGCCGGCUACCUCCGUGCCAGCAGCCGCGGUAAUUC
rnacentral:rRNA from 1 species